GCACGAAGUUAGCCGGGGGCUUAUUCUGCGGGUACCGUCAUCAUCGCUCCCCGCCAAAAGAGCUUUACAACCCGAAGGCCUUCAUCACUCACGCGGCAUGGCUGGAUCAGGGUUGCCCCCAUUGUCCAAUAUUCCCCA
rnacentral:rRNA from 1 species